GACGAACGCUGGCGGCGUGCUUAACACAUGCAAGUCGAACGGAAAGGCCCUGCUUUUGUGGGGUGCUCGAGUGGCGAACGGGUGAGUAACACGUGAGUAACCUGCCCUUGACUUUGGGAUAACUUCAGGAAACUGGGGCUAAUACCGGAUAGGAGCUCCUGCUGCAUGGUGGGGGUUGGAAAGUUUCGGCGGUUGGGGAUGUACUCGCGGCUUAUCAGCUUGUUGGUGGGGUAGUGGCUUACCAAGGCUUUGACGGGUAGCCGGCCUGAGAGGGUGACCGGCCACAUUGGGACUGAGAUACGGACCAGACUCGUACGGGGGGCAGCAGUGGGGAAUAUUGCACAAUGGGCGGAAGCCUGAUGCAGCAACGCCGCGUGCGGGAUGACGGCCUUCGGGUUGUAAACCGCUUUAGCCUGUGACGAAGCGUGAGUGACGGUAAUGGGUAAAGAAGCACCGGCUAACUACGUG
rnacentral:rRNA from 1 species